rnacentral:rRNA from 1 species
CGGGUAGCGGAACACGUACGCAACCUACCCAUAACUGAGGAAUAGCCCGGGGAAACCCGGAUUAAUACUUCGUAACAUAAUGAGAUGGCAUCGUCUUAUUAUUAUAGCUCCGGCGGUUAUGGAUGGGCGUGCGCCUGAUUAGGUAGUUGGCGGAGUAAUAGCCCACCAAGCCUACGAUCAGUAACUGGUGUGAGAGCACGACCAGUCACACGGGCACUGAGACACGGGCCCG